UACGUAGGGUGCGAGCGUUGUCCGGAAUUAUUGGGCGUAAAGGGCUCGUAGGCGGUCUGUUGCGUCGGGAGUGAAAACUCAGGGCUUAACCCUGAGCCUGCUUCCGAUACGGGCAGACUAGAGGUAUGCAGGGGAGAACGGAAUUCCUGGUGUAGCGGUGAAAUGCGCAGAUAUCAGGAGGAACACCGGUGGCGAAGGCGGUUCUCUGGGCCUUACCUGACGCUGAGGAGCGAAAGCGUGGGGAGCAAACAGG
rnacentral:rRNA from 1 species